CAUGUAAACAUUGCACCGUGGUUUCGGCUAUGCUAUGUAGUGUAUAUAUGUCCAGAAUAGUGGUUGAUGCAUGAAUACGUUUCAAAGAUACGUUACAACCCGCGAGGGGUACCCAGCUAUAUAUAUCAUCGCGUGAUUCCCCUUAGCUUCUCGGGGCAGGAAAAGGUGUGUCGGGUGUGUACAAGGGGUCGAUCGGACCUGUAUCCGCAGUCAGAAUUGAGGACGCGGCCCAUAUACGCUGGAAGAAGGACAUGUGCAAACAGUGAAAUUUAUAACUCAGGUUACCAAACGCCCCGUCUCAUGAUCAACUGAGUGAUAAAUUUAACAGGUCACAACCUGGAUCUCAGGCAAAGACUUCACUGGAACAAGUUACCGGUAUUUUGUGCUCUGUUUCGUUCGAAAUCUGAAUGAACCCAUACAGGGAACUCAUGAACCAGGUCUCGUAGCGACCAGCCGGACAGAUAGCGUCAUUAUCAGGAACUAGAAGAACUCCAUGCUGUCCAUAUCGAUGGUUGGGAAAGCCUUAUCCCCGAUGACGACGUCGGAACAUGCUUCAGAUGCCUACAAAGACGCUGUCGCCUUCAUUGGGCAGUUGCGUAACAAUGAAGAGAAGCUUAUUGAAAGAGGCAAAUUUCUUCUCAAGAAGGACAAGGACUACUGCAAGCGC